UCCACAUUUUUCACUCUCUGUCUCCUCCUUUCUGCGUUCAGGUUCAGGAGAAUUGGCUGAGCCACUUUUUUUAUUAGAGCAGCGGCAACAGGAAAAAGAAUGGGAACUAGACAGGUCCCAAGGGGAGGGAGCGGGUAGCAUGAGGCAGCAUUCCCACACACAUACACACAUACACACAUGUGCACACACAUCCCAUCCACUCAGGAGCUGUGACGGGACACUGACGCAGUGAAGCUGCCACCGAAGGGAGCCAGACAAGCUGCCACCUCAUCUAAUCACCGCUGUCAGCAGCAGGAGCAGAAUGUCUGCGAAUGGGAAAGCGCACGGGCGCUGGGUAAAGGAGGAACGCGCUCACAGAGAAAAUAAGCACUGAAAACACACGCAUCAAAUACAUGGCAGGGUCGCGGUUUUUUGUGUCUACUACUCUGUCCCUGGAGGUGUUCAAGACCAGGAUGAAGAGCAACCUGAUCUAGUGACAGAUCUGGAGGUUGUUGACCCUGCCUGUGGCAUGGGGGUUGGAACUUCAUGAUCCCUGUGGUCCCUUCCAAACCAAGCUAUUCUAUGAUUCUAUGAUUCUACGAUAUUAUUGACCAGACUGAAGCCCAAAGAGCAGAGUUGCUUUCACUGCUUCUACCAAGGGGACAUAGUUACAGUCAUCAGCACUGCUCUAAAUAUAAAUAAAAGGCAGGGCAAAAUUUUGCUGUCCCAAAAAAAUUUAUUCCAUCCCUGAAAUGACGGCAUUAAAAUCCUCUCACAGGGGGGCCAGAGAGCGUUAACAGUGAUGAUAAAAAUCUGCUUUGAUGUGCUAUUUGUCUUUUGAAGGGAGCCAGGUGGAUCUGCUUGUACAUGAAGUCCCAUGAUUACCCAUGGAUGCAGUACAGGCACAUGCAUCCCCUGAGCACACUGGGGGAUGUGUCUGGUGUGAAAGAUCACCCACUGACAACUUGCUCUUCUAGUCUUGACACUCCCAAGACCUGGAGAAAAGCAGCUGAGCAAUGUGUGGAUAUCUCAGAGGCUGCAUAGGAACCCAAAUCCUAGUCUUGUGGUUACAAGCCAUUCAAAGCACUAAGCAAACACAUGCAAGUGCUCAAGUGGAUAACUGAUGCUUUGGUGCUUGUCCGUCUCUAAGGCCCCUUGGUAACCCACUUUUGGAAGGCCUCCCAUAUCCUGCUUCCUCUCAGCUGAAGCAUCUGGUUCCUAAUCACUGCACUCCUUCAUGGCCAAUUUUCCAGCCAGUUGGUGUUUUGCUGCUUUCACUUAAGAUCUCCAUUCAAAACUGAACCGGGAACUGGAGCAGUGUUAAGGGGAGAAAAGUGUUUAAAGAGCAGCACUGAUUUCAUGCACACAGACACAGUCCUCUGCGGCACUAGGAUUAGGAAAGGAAAAGUAAAGGAGGGGAAAAGGCUGCAGAAAUUCCCCUCAGCUUGCCUAAAAAUCCAGAGGCAGAUUUCCCUUUGUGUUCUGUGUGAUUUUUCUAACGUUGCCUCUACGUAGUAACAGAUUUUUCUUCUGUGGGAAGGGAAGCGUGCCUGUUGAAGUCUGCAGGAGCCUCACUUUCUUCUUUGCUUGCUUUCACAUUCACCUCCCGCACAGCUCCCAGAGGCUCCGUGCCUCAUGCUGGCAAUCCAUUCAGUGGCAGACCAGAGGUACAAGCUAGCAGCACUUCCCGCGGGUCGGGAAAUCACUGCUGGGGCUUGGGGGCUGCAAGCAGCACUGCCGCACUCAGCCAGGCAGAAAUCUGCCCACCCUUCCCAUUGGGUGGCAUGUGCAUCGCUGAUUUGCCAGGGGAAUGAUUAGUGAUCCAGCAUUCUCCCUAUUGCAAAACGUCCAUCAGCAGGCUGCAAGCAUCUCACGUUUAUGUCUCCUAGCUUUUACUUCUUAAUGAAUGAGUUUCACCGGGAGGCACUGUGAAAAUUCCACAUCUGAAUCAGUAUUUGCGUUCGUAUUGGCACAUUUCCUAAGGAACCUGCAAUCAUUUAUGCUGCUUUAUUGGCUACCUGCUGUAGCUAAUUAACAACAUGAAUUAGCAGGGAACAAUCCCAAAUUCAAUUUCUGGAAAAGUACCUAGUUCACCUAUUUUUUUUUUCCCCGAGAUUAAAAGAUAGCAAAUCACAAACACGGCACAAUAUGUCUGAUGCAUGCAAUGUAACUACGCGAUGCACAUGUACAAAAUACAAAGCUAAGCAUUAUCACAGAUAAGAGCUUACUGACAUUAAUCCGCUUCAAAUCAUUGUCCAAACUACUUCAGAGUCAAGCAUGCAUUCAGUGACCUUGCAGAAUACGCAGUUCCUUGGCUGGCACUACAUAGACAUCUCCUGAAAUAAAUGAUGAGCACAGUGUUGUCGAUUAGGCACGUGAGAAGUGUGGGUUAGAGAGGCACCCAGGUGAACCCUAACAGCAAAGACUAUAGGAAAGCAUCAUACCACUUACUUCUUCUGGCAGAGAAAGAGUAGUAAGACUAAUUAGCAAUUACUGGAGCAAGCCAUUUGUGUCAAGGCUGCCCCUGAGGACGGUCCUACAGCUGGGGGAGCCAUGAAGAGCAGCCCAGGGACCAGAGGUCACUGUCAGAGGCACACUCAGCCAAGCAGGAGGGAGCCCCGUGGCCCAGGGGGAGCUGAGUACCCAGAGGGUGGGAUGCUGUGACAAGU